AUUGAACGCUGGCGGCGUGCCUAACACAUGCAAGUGGAGCGACGAACCAGGCUUCGGCCUGGGGCAAAGCCGCGAACGGGUGAGUAACACGUGGGUAACCUGCCCCGAAGACCGGGACAACCCGAGGAAACUCGGGCUAAUACCGGAUGUGGUCACCGUCCAAAAGGACGAUGAGCAAAGGAAGCUUCGGCCUCCGCUUCGGGAGGGGCCCGCGGCCCAUUAGCUUGUUGGUGAGGUAACGGCUCACCAAGGCUCCGAUGGGUAGCUGGUCUGAGAGGACGAUCAGCCACACUGGGACUGAGACACGGCCCAGACUCCUACGGGAGGCAGCAGUGGGGAAUCUUGCGCAAUGCGCGAAAGCGUGACGCAGCAACGCCGCGUGGGGGAAGAAGGCCUUCGGGUUGUAAACCCCUUUCAGGAGGGACGAAGCCUCGGGAGUGAAUAGCUCUCCGGGGUGACGGUACCUCACGAAGAAGCCCCGGCUAACUACGUGCCAGCAGCCGCAGUAACAC
rnacentral:rRNA from 1 species